rnacentral:rRNA from 1 species
UACGAAGGGGGCUAGCGUUGCUCGGAAUCACUGGGCGUAAAGCGCACGUAGGCGGCUUGUUAAGUCAGGGGUGAAAUCCUGGAGCUCAACUCCAGAACUGCCUUUGAUACUGGCAAGCUUGGAGUCCGGGAGAGGUGAGUGGAACUGCGAGUGUAGAGGUGAAAUUCGUAGAUAUUCGCAAGAACACCAGUGGCGAAGGCGGCACUCUGGGCUGGAACUGACGCUGAGGAGCGAAAGCGUGGGUAGGCAAACG